CCACGAGCAGCUGGCACAGGCCCCUGGCCAGGCUGGUAAUUGUCAUCCCUUCAUACUUGUGCAGCUUGGAGCAUCUGGAAAUGCCUGCGGUGCCACGGGCUGUCAGUGACCUCUGUCUCCGUUGUGUCGCCUCAGGUCUCAACUGCUUUUUGUGUCCUGGGAAAUGAGAGCAAUUCUUUCUAUCAUAUUCAGAAAGAAAAUGAAAAGUUUUGCAGAACUCCUCACUCACAGGAAGAUCCAUGGAUUCACACCCCUGGCCCACGUCUCUUCGCUUGUGAAACAUAGAGGAAGGAGCUUAUUGCCGUGCUCCUUCCCUGGAGCCCCACCUCAGCAGCACGGCUCACCUGGCCAAAGUCUGCAGCAAACACUCCGUGCAGGAAGGAGAACUUGGUGCCACUGACUCACUUGGUGUCUUCUGCCUUUUCAGCAUCUUCCAAGAGGCUUGGUUCUGCUUCUAAGUCUAUGAAAUUAUGGUCUUUUCCUACUAAAAAAUAAUCCUCUCCACCCAUCCAAAUACUGAGCCCACUAAAACAUCCUCAGCUAUUUCUCUAAGCGCAUCAAUUUUUUUUUUCUAACACAAAAUAAAUAUGUUUUCAAAAUCAUGGGCUCACAAAUGGAAUUACAGUAAUAUUUGCUUACAAAAUUCCUUAAAACAUAAUCGCAAACCUACAUCUUUGUGGAUUCCAAAAGACGCUCAGAUGGCCACACAGGAUCUGAAAAUAAAUGUGGUUUAUUAGCUUAGGCAUGCAUUUAUGAAUAAAAGUCUAGUUGCAUAGAUUCUGGCCAAUACAGGCCAGUACCAGAUAAACAUUUCACAUUCUAACAUACGCA